CCCCAUUGCCCAUGUUAAUCUCCCACCACUUGAUCUCUCAGUAGGAAAUCAAAUCACAUUAAAAUCUCCCCCAAUGCAUGUUGGAAGGUCCCACCAAAUCAUCAUACCAGUCAACUCAUCCCACAAUCUACUUAUGCUCUUAUCAGCAUUAGGCCCAUAAACUCCUAUAAACAUCUAACGGAAGCUAUCCCCAAUAUUUUUGAACCAAAAUGAUAGAGAAAAUAGCUCUUCACUCACCUCUUC
rnacentral:lncRNA from 1 species